rnacentral:snRNA from 1 species
GUACUCGCUUCAGCAACACAUAUACUAAAAUGGGAAUGAUACAGAGAAGAUGAGCAUGACCCCUGCACAAGGAUGACAUGCAAAUUGAUGAAACAUUCCAUAUUUUU